rnacentral:lncRNA from 1 species
AUUUAUUCAUGCUUGCCUGGGUGACCUAUUAUGUGUUAAUUUAGGGUUUUAUUGUUGCUUGUUUGUUUUGUUUCUAUAGUAUAUAGGUCUAGGAGGAGAUGAGAUUUUUGGUAUAAGAAGGGAGGCAGGAGAGGUGAUAGCAUUCAUUAGUGGAGGGGACAGAGGAAGGAAGGGAGGAAGGGAGGGAGUGGGGCAGGGAGCUCUUCCAAGCCUGAGGGCUGGGGGCACAGGGAAGAGUGUGGUGUGGCUUCAUUCCAGAUGCUGGACGAUUGGCUGCCUCCCUACCCACCAUACUGUUAUAACCCCCAUGUUCAAAACUCCCUGGCUUGGCUUCUGAGUUUCCAGAUAGGUUUGACCCAAUAGACAUUUCAAAGAGCAGAAUAAUCCACCCUGUCCCCUGCUCUGCACCCACAGGUCUUGGCAAGAGCUAAGGCAGGGUCUCAAUAAUUCCCACAGACGCAGAGAAGCUUGGGAAGCAGGGUCCAGGCAUUGAUGAGCAUGUCUGAACUCAGUCUCCAGCCUAUAAUUAGUAGUAUAAUCCUAAGUCACAUGACCUUGGAGUCUCAGUUGUUCUCAGCCUGAUGAAGACAGAGGACCCAAGUUACUGUGUUAUUAUCAGAAUUAGAUACAUUAUUGUCAUAUAGCAAAUUAUUCAUGCUGAGCAGGGGGUAGCGGGCAUGAACCCCCAGAACCCAGCAAAACAUGCCCUUUAAUUACUCAAGCAUUUACCCAAACCCAAAUAUCAAAAAAAGAAAAUGUUGCUCAUUACCACUAAUACAUCGCUAUAAACUCAUCAGAAUAACCAGUACCAAAUCACCUUGAGCAUAGGGGUCCUUAGAAGAUGGAGAAACAGCAUCUCUGGUUUUGUAAGCCAGCUGCAACUGUGAUAUGAUGAAUUUGUGUUUCUUUGUAGGCACCAGUGGAGAUCUCAGCACAUCCCAGGAUCGAGUUCUGGAGGGGACCAGAUGACUCGGUGGUUAAGAGCACUGACUGCUCUUCCAGAAGACACACGUUAAUUUUCCAGCAACCACAUGGCAGCUCACAUGGCUGUAACUCAAGUCCCAGGGGAUCCAACACCCUCUUCUGGCCCAACGUGAAUGAGGUACACAGACAUACACAUAGGCAAAACAGUCAUAUGCA